CCUUAAUAGCGGCUGCACCAUUAGGAUGUCCUGAUCCAACAUCGAGGUCGUAAACCCCCUCGUCGAUAGGGACUCUGGGAGAGGAUUGCGCUGUUAUCCCUAGGGUAACUCGGUCCGUUGAUCGGCGUUCGCCGGAUCAUUUUUGGUCAGAAAUUCUGGUGCUUAGAGUUGUGGCUCUUGGUUGUGGGGGCAGUGCCCCCAGUCCACAUGGGGGCUUUGUUUUCCCCCGCGGUCGCCCCAACCAAAGACAUAGGGGCUAGGGGUCACUGUGUUUUUACUUGUUAAUUCAAGGUUACUUGACGUGAUCUGCCUGGUGUCUAAAGCUCCAUAGGGUCUUCUCGUCUUAUGUAUUUAUGUCCGCUUCUCCGCGGG
rnacentral:rRNA from 1 species